GACGAACGCUGGCGGCGUGCUUAACACAUGCAAGUCGAACGGAAAGGCCCUGCUUUUGUGGGGUGCUCGAGUGGCGAACGGGUGAGUAACACGUGAGUAACCUGCCCUUGACUUUGGGAUAACUUCAUGAAACUGGGGCUAAUACCGGAUAGGAGCUCCUGCUUCAUGGUGGGGGUUGGAAAGUUUCGGCGGUUGGGGAUGGACUCGCCGCUUAUCAGCUUGUUGGUUGGGUAGUGGCUUACCAAGGCUUUGACGGGUAGCCGGCCUGCGAGGGUGACCGGCCACAUUGGGACUGAGAUAAGGCCCAGACUCGUAUGGGACGCAGCAGUGGGGAAUAUUGCACUAUGGGCGGAAGCCUGAUGCAGCAACGCCGCGUGCGGGAUGACGGCAUUCGGGUUGUAAACCGCUGUCGUCUGUGACGAAGCGUGAGUGACGGUAAUGGGUAAAGAAGCACCGGCUAACUACGUG
rnacentral:rRNA from 1 species